CGUGGUCGAGAGUCAUUCAUUGGUGCGAUAACAUCAAGGAUCAUAGGCGUACUUUCCAUAAGCGUAAGAACAAAUGAAGUUAUUACAAAAGUAACUAGAAAACCACAUAUAAAUUAGGAAGCAGCAGAAUUAUAAUGACAAAACAUUAUAUUUUCUCUGAUUCACUUACAGCACAGAAAUAAUGCGAAAAUAUAAGAUUCGAAGAGAAAUUCUUCAAAUAUUUUCAUUGCUGCAGUAUUUUUAAACAUUUUCCAGUCAAACUGCAUAUGUUGAAAAACUUGCUUUACCUGUUUUUAAUUGCCACAAUAUGUAGUAUUCGAAAGCAGAAUUUUUGAAAGACAAACAUUCCGAUGCAUAUAUUGUAUUCUUUGAACAACAGGAAGUUGUAUGGAUAGGUACCUUGGUCCGAAGAACUUUUUGGGAUGACUACGCACGGCUGUGUGAAACAUCGCUCAACCACGCGUGCAAAAGUGUACGUUACACGCACGAUGGCGUGUACACAAGGUCGAAUUGGGAUCAUCAACUCGUCGAGAUGCACACGACUCUCCAUUUUGUGUUAGUUAGCACACAACGCAACUAGACGAGCUCUGGCGCAACAUUGUGCUACAUACAUUCCGCAUAUUUCAGCGUGCUUCCUUCCUUCCUUUCAUCCCACCCUUCGAGAGUCUGCAUACCUUCACCGAGGGCAAUCUACCUAGCUGGGUAUGUCUACGUCUACGAAUAGCGGAAGCGUACGCCGAUAUGGUACGUCGAAUCGUACGCAUCGUCAGAUAAAAUGUUCAUCCUUCCAAGUGACUAACAAUAUGUCGAAACGCAGAUUGGUAUCAUCGAGCACACGCAAAAUAUUAUUCCAAACUCGACUUACGAUACACUACAUCAGGGUGUGAGUAGAAGAAUGUGCGCGAUAAAAUAUUAUAUCAUGUGACAGCAAUAAAGUGUUGUGAAUUGUAUAUCUCGUUGAAGAAUUAAACAGUUUGUUGAAUAUAUAAACUAAUGACUUAUAAAAUAUCGCUUCUUUUCGUACAAAAGUCAUUUUUCUCGAUUCUCACGUUUGUUAGUAAUUUUGCACAAGUUUAUUAUCUGUGAAUUUUAAUAACUGAAUAAACGUGUGUGACAAAAAGAAAAGUUCUCAAAAGCAGUUUGCUGACGAUCAACACAAUUUGUGAAAAUAUAUUCAUUAUCCUCAAUUCUUUCCGAGUUUUUGCACAAAAGAUUUAUAUGCGAUCACUGGCAAGCGGCUUUGAGUUCUUUUUCCGUCCUCUGUGACUGCAAAACUGCAAAACAGAAUCUCAUAAUUCACCCGAUAGACCCGAUUUCAACUUGACAAAAUUAAAAGGUACGCAGCUUUUAAAUGCGAACGCGUAGAAACAUCCUGCGGCCCAAAAAUGUUCCAUUAAUGUUGCAUACCGAAAGCAACUGCACGUUCCUCGCAUGUUGAUGUAGAUAUGCAAAUGCAUAUGACAUAAAUCUAUGUUGUGAGAACUCAGACGCUAUAUUUUGAGGCCUUGAAAGUAUUGCACAAUGCCAUCGUUAUACUGUGAUGGUGACU